AUCAAUAAAAAAAAAAAAAAAAAAAAAAAAGAGUCUGAAGUCCUCCAAUAUUUGGCUAAAUUCUAUAAUCUCAAAAAUAGUGAUGGAGACAGGGUAUCCCAUAUUUCCAUACAUAAAUUUCACUUCCCUGAUCAGUGAGGGAAAAAGUUAAUUAAUGGGAUAUUCCUGUGAGGUUGCUUGGAGAUAAACUUGUCCAAAUGUUUAUAUAAAACUAAAAUUAUUUAGAUAGGCUCUUAUCUAGAGUCAUGAUUUUAUUUUCUUUCAGGAGAUAUAGAAAUAAGAGCUAGAAUUGCUUAUUGUAGCUAAUUUGUAGCUGAUUUCUGGGUUGAGAAAAAAUUGCAAUAUACUCUGCCUUUCAUUUUCUUACUUGAAUUCUCAUGUUUUUCUGAUAAUUAAUAUCUGGAAAGAAUAAUCAAGUCUUAAUAUUGGAGACAGAAACGAGCAGAAAUUGUGCCACUGCACUCCAGCCUGGAUGACACAGCAAGAUUCCGUCUCAAAAAAGAAAAAAAAAUCAAGCUGGAAUAGCAAUAUUAAUUUCAGAAAACACACAUCUCAGAACAAAGAAGAUGAGCAGGGAUAAAGAGGGAGAUUAAACAAUAAUAAAAGACUAAAUAAAAAACAAAAAUAAAAAAUAAAAUAAUAAUAAAAGAAUACAAUGGAACUAAACUAGAAAUUAAUAACAGAAAAAUUGUUGGAAAUCUCUAAAUAUACAGAAAAUUUAAAACAUGCUUAUAUAUAACCCAAGUAUCAAAGAAGUAGUAUCAAGAGAAAUUGAAAAAUAAUUUUGAACUAAAGAAAAAUGAAAACAGAACUUAUGAAAAUUUUUGGGAUGCAGCAACAGUAGUGCUUAGAGGGAAAUUUAUGGCUUCAAAUAUUUACAUAAGAAAAGAAGAAAGAUUUAAAAAAAAUCAAUCAUUUUAGCCUCCACCCAAGAGAACUAGAGAAAGAAGAGCAAUUUAGGCUUAAUGCAAGCAGGGGAAAAGAUAUAACAAAAUUAGAGCUGAAAUCAAUGAAAUUGGAACCAUAAAUUUCACAAAUGUAAUAGAAAAAUAAUCUCAGAAACCAGAAAUUGUUUUUUGAGAAGGUUUGUCAAAAAACCUUGAUGAAUCUCUAGCUGGGCUAACCAAGAAAAUAGAUUAAUUUUUCUCAUAAACAUGGAUGCACAAGUUCUCAAUGAAAUAUUAACAAAUUGAAUCCAGCAAUAUGUAAAAGGAAUUAUAAACUAUGACCAAGUGGCAUUUAUUUCAGUUAUACAAGAUUGGUUUCACACUUGAAAAUCAACCAAUAUAAUCUACUGUAUCAACAUGCUAAAGAAGAAAAAUUAUAUGAUUAUAUCAAUUACUGCUGAAAAAGCUUUUGACGAAAUCCACAUUCAUGAUAAAACUUUCAGCAAAAUACAAAUAGAGUAAAAUUUUCUCAGCUUGAAAAAGGAAUCUACAGUAACCUACAGUUAACAUUAUACUUAAUGGAGAGAUACAUUUUCUCUAAGAUAGAGAAAAAGGCAAUAUUGUCCUCUCUAACUGCUCCUAAACAACAUUGUACUGGAAGUCUAAGUUAAUACAGUAAGACAAGAAAAAACAAUUAAAAAUGUAUAAAAUGGAAAGGAAGAAACAAUUAUUUUUAUUCAGAUGACAUAAUUAUCUAUAUACAAAAGAAUCCCAAAUAAUCUACAAAAUAUUCCUAGAACUAAUGAGCAAAGUGGCAGGAUAAAAGAUUAACAUACAUAGCCAACCAAUUUUCUAUAUAUCAGCAAUGAGUGAUUGAAAUGAAAAAAUUUAAAAUACACCACUUAUGACAGCAGCAAAAAUGGAAUAUUUUGUUAUAAAUCUGAGAAUAUAUGUACAGAAUGUACAUAUAGGAAACUAUAAAACACUGAUGAAGGAAGUAAAGCAUAUAUAUAGAAAUGUUCCAUAUUCAUGAAUCAGAACAGUCAUUAUUGUUAAGAUGUCAAUUCUUCCCAGUUUAAUUUAUACAUUCAAUACAAUUCCAAUAAAAAUCCUAGCAAACUAUUUUUUGAUAUCAACUAACAAGUUGACUCUCAUUUUAUAUUGAAAGGCAGAAGACCAAGAAUAGCCAAUGUAAUCUUAAAAAAUAAAAAUAAAGUUGGAGGACUCACACUACCCAAUUUAAAAUUUAAAGACUCACUAUGAAGGUACAUUAAUAAAGGCAAUGUGGUGUUAGUGAAAGGAUGGACACAUGGAUCAACAGGACAAGACAAAGAACUGAUAAAUAGACCAACACAUGCAUAGCCAAGUGAUAUUUGACAAAGGAGUGAAAGCAAUCUGUCACUAGAGAAAGGAUAAUAUUUUCAGCAAAUGGAGCUGGAACAAUUAAAUGCCCAUAUAUAAAUAAAAAAUCCGGACAGAAACUACAUUUUCCAAAAAUUUGAAUCAAAAUGGGUCAUAAACUUAAGUGUAAAAUGCAAAACUAUAACAUUCCCAGAAGAAAACAGGAGAAAAUCUGUGUGAUCUGGAGUUUGGCAAUUUAUUUUUAGAUACAAUACAAAAAGCACACCUCAUGAAAACAAUUGAUACAUUUGACUUUAUUAAAGUUAAAAUCUUCUGCAUUGCAAAAAAACUAAGAGAAUGAAAAUCCAAGUCAUAAACUGGGAAAAAAAUGUUUGCAAAAUUUAUAUCUGAUAAAGAACUUGUAUCCAAAAUAUACAAAGAACUCUUUAAAUCCAACAAUAAGAAGACAACCCAAUUUAAAAAUAAGCAAAGAUCUUAAUAAACAUCUCACCAGAUAAGAUAUGCAGAUGGAAAAUAAACAUGAAAUGAUGCUCAACAUCAUUAGCCAUUAGAUAAUUGCAUAUUAUCACAACAAUGAGACACCAUUGCAUUCCUAUUAUGGUGGCCAGCCCUGUCAUCCUUUUCCAGUUGAAAAUACCAAUUGCUGGCAGGAAUGCAGAGCAACAAGAAGUUUAUUUUGUUGCUGGUAGAAAUGCAAGAGUACAGCCACAUAGGAAGAGAGUUUGGCAGUUUUUAACAAAGCUAAACAUUGCCAUAAAUACAACUCUGUAAUCCCGCUCCUAGGUAUUUACCCAACUGACGUGAAAACUGAUGUCCACAACAUGCAUGCGAAAGUUUAUAACACUGUCUUUCAUAAUUGCCAAAAAUUGGAAGCAACCAAGAUGUCCUUUAAUAUGUGAAUAGAUAAACAAACUGAAGUACAACUACACAAUAGAGUACUAUCAUUGAUAAGAGGUAAUGAGCUACGAAGACAUGCAGAAACAUGAGUGAAUAGUAAAUGCAUAUUGCUAAGUAGAAGAAGCCAGUCUUAAAAAGCUGUAUGAUUCCCUUUAUAGAAUAUUCUGGAAAAGGGGAAACUAUAAAGACAAUAAAUACAUCAAUGGUUGUUGGAGCUUUGGAGGAGGUGAGUUAAAUAGGUGGUGAGCAGAAGAUAUUUUAGGGUGGGAAACUAUUUUUUUGGUAGUGUCAUAAACAAUAUAUGACAGUAUGUAUUUGUCAAAACUCACAAAACUUUAUAACAAAAAGAGUUAGCCUUAAUGUUUGCCAAUUAAAAAAUUAUCUAAGUGACUGGUGGAUCUCAGGAUAAAAUGCGGAAUGUUGCAAAAGACUCCAAGUGUAUUAGAAAUGUAUAAAACAACCAUACCGCAUGGAGAGGGAGAAGGUGGGAUCUACAUAAUGUUGCAAAUAUGUGGAGUCUGGAAUACUAAUGGCAAAAGGAACUGUGCAGAAGAACUGCACUCUGGUUGGUAAAGGUUUUUCACAAUGGGUUAUGGAUCCACAAUUCUGAAAGCAGCAUACGUGCAUAGUGCUUUUGAACAAUUAGGUACUUAAAUGGUGAGUGGUGAAAGUCAACUUUCUCACUGCUGGAGUGGGAGGCUACAAGUAAGGAAGGGAAGAGACUACAAUGAUCCAUGUGGUGAUAAAUUAAAGUUGUGGGCAUUAGUUUGAAUAUAUGUUUAGCUUAAUAUAGAUACAGAAGGUUACAUACAGAAAAAUUUACAUGAGUUACAUGUAUAUACAUAGGUUAGCAAACACACAUACAUUUCCUUGCUGUCUCAGCUUAGACCCUCAGAGGGCCUAGGAGCCAUGAUUCCCCAGUACCCCAGUAGUAACAAGCAUACCUAGUGCCUAGAUCUUGGUUUCAAAUUAUAUUCUCAAAUAAAAGAAACUAGAGCUCAGUGAAGAAAUGACUUGAGUCUAGGAUUGGAACAUGAUAUACACAAGAUGAACCUAGAACAUCUUGUAGUGACAGAUAAGAAAAUGCUCACAAAAAAAGAAAAGAAAAAGAGAAAGAACCACCAUAUUGAAGACGUUUCAAAAGGACACUAGAGCUAAUUGAAGGAAUCCCCAAUGGUCAAAGCUGGAACAAUUUGAAUAACAAAAUAAACUAGUGAUGGAUAUGACCCAGAGUAUAAAAUGAAAAUCCAUUAAUCUAUACUGAUAUAAGUAAUUAAUUGACAAAUAAAUCGGAGAGAAUACAAAAAUCUGUGCAGAAGAGUUUCUGUGGAUGAUUUGCCCUAGAUAACUCUGUAUUCCUUAAGUGUGGGCUGCACACAGUGACUUCUUCCAAAGAGUGAAGUGGGAAAGGGAAAAAGAAGAGGAGUUUUAAGUAGAGAAACCUGAUGACACUACUUCAGCCAUGUAAUCAUCUUUCACAACUACAGUGACAGGUCAUGUUCAUAAUAUAUUCCCUUGAGGUGAUUUGAUGAGAGUGGCAUUUUCCCUCUGUGGUCUUCUUCCCAAAAUCAUAACUUGAAUUUAAUUUUGAAAAAAAAGAUCAGAUGAAUCUCAAUUAAGGGACUUUGUUUUUAAAAUACAUUAAAAAAUUUUUUUUUAAUUUUUUACUUGUCCCAAGAAAAAAAAUUGAGAAACUUUCUACAAAACACUUGGCCAAUACUUCUCAAAUUGUCUAGGUCAUCAAAAAUAAGAAAAGCUUGAGAAACUGUAAUACCCAGAGGGGCUUAUGGAGAAAUAAUGACCAAAUAUUAUAAGGUAUCUCAGAUGGGAUCACGAAAGAGAAAACGAGAACAUUAGAUAAAAACUAAGAAACUGAAAUCAACUAUGGCUUUUUAUUAAAGGUAUGCUAUUGAUAUACUAGGUCAUUAAAGGUGAUAAAUACAUUACAUUAUUGUAAGAUAAUGAUAACAGAAACUUGGUGUGUGGUAUAUAGGAACUCUGUACUAUAUAAGUUUUCUGUAAAUGUAAAAUUACCUUAAAAUAAAAAAGUGUAUUCAAUAUUUAAAAAGAAAAUUAGAAUUUUCUCUUUGGUAAAUACACACCUUACAAAUCUUUACACCAGA
rnacentral:lncRNA from 1 species